UACGGGGGGGCAAGCGUUGUUCGGAAUUACUGGGCGUAAAGGGCUCGUAGGUGGCCAACUAAGUCAGACGUGAAAUCCCUCGGCUUAACCGGGGAACUGCGUCUGAUACUGGAUGGCUUGAGUUCGGGAGAGGGAUGCGGAAUUCCAGGUGUAGCGGUGAAAUGCGUAGAUAUGCGGAGGAACACCGAUGGCGAAGGCAAUCCCCUGGACCUGUACUGACGCUCAUGCACGAAAGCGUGGGGAGCAAACAGG
rnacentral:rRNA from 1 species